GACGAACGCUGGCGGCGUGCUUAACACAUGCAAGUCGAACGGAAAGGCCCUGCUUUUGUGGGGUGCUCGAGUGGCGAACGGGUGAGUAACACGUGAGUAACCUGCCCUUGACUUUGGGAUAACUUCAGGAAACUGGGGCUAAUACCGGAUAGGAGCUCCUGCUGCAUGGUGGGGGUUGGAAAGUUUCGGCGGUUGGGGAUGGACUCGCGGCUUAUCAGCUUGUUGGUGGGGUAGUGGCUUACCAAGGCUUUGACGGGUAGCCGGCCUGAGAGGGUGACCGGGACACAUGUGAAGUAGACGAGGGCGCAGGAGCACAGGGGCGAGAGGAGGGGAGAAUAGCGGCCAGUGGGCAGAAGCCGGAUGCAGCAGCGGGGCUUGGGGGAGGACGGUUUUCGUGUGGUAAGCCGUUGCGGGUGGUGAGGGAGGGGGAGGGGAGGUAAUGGGUAAAGACGCACGGUAAAAAUAAGGGGCAGCCGCGGGGAUGAAGGGUAAGAGCACGCGGCUGCA
rnacentral:rRNA from 1 species